rnacentral:lncRNA from 1 species
UUUGAGACAGGAAAUUGCAUGGAGCAGAGGCACAGGGCCUGGAAAGCAUGGGAAAUGAUCAGCCCUGAGCUGACAUCUGCUGCCAAUCCUCCUCUUUUUUUCUGAGGAAGACUGGUCCUGAGCUAACAUCCGUGCCCAUCUUCCUCUGUUUUAUAUGUGGGAUGCCUACCACAGCAUGGCUUGAUGAGUGGUGCCAUGUCUGCACCCGGGACCUGAACUGGUGGACCCUGGGCUGCCGAAGGGGAACGUGCGCACUUA